AAAACUCUCAAUGAAAAUUUGAGUACCUAUAUCUAAACCAUUUUACUUAUAAACACUUAGAAAAUCAUUUAAUUAAUUCUAAUACUCCAAGAAAAAUAUAAAAUGAUGAAUCGAAUCUAAACUCACACGACAAAUGGUGAGAUCUCCAUCAUCGUCGUACUCUUUAGCGCCGCCUCUCUUUCCCUUUCUCUGUCCCUCUUCGUCAUCUUCUUCUUCAGGCUCUUCUUCCUCCGCUUGUCGCGCUGCUUCGGCUUUGGAUUGCAGGUCUGCGAGGUAGGAUUCUGGAAGUUAAUCUAGGGCUUUGGAUUGCAGGUCUGCGCUGCUUCGGCUUUGGAUUUGUCGCGCUGCUUCGGCUUUGGAUUGCAGGUCUGCUUGCGCUCCGGUGGGGAGAGGUCGAGCCCUAGAUUAACUUCCAGAAAGGAAAAAAGAGUUCGAGCACUAGCUUAAGUUUUUAUUUAAUUGCCUUUUUUU
rnacentral:lncRNA from 1 species